rnacentral:sRNA from 1 species
UUUACUACUAUUUAUUAACUGUGGAAUGGAUACAUAAUUGAUUCAACCAGUGAAUGAUUUCCAGAGCAAUGGCACAUCAAAUUAAUAUGGCUACUGCUCUCUUUGAAUUUAUAUUCUACUGAGGGAUAUAAACGCUCCUGUUGCUGGGACACCUGCAGCUCCCCCAAAGGCUGUGCUGAAACUCGAGCCCCAGUGGAUCAACGUGCUCCAGGAGGACUCUGUGACUCUGACAUGCCGGGGGACUCACAGCCCUGAGAGCGACUCCAUUCAGUGGUUCCACAAUGGGAAUCUCAUCCCCACCCACACGCAGCCCAGCUACAGGUUCAAGGCCAACAACAAUGACAGCGGGGAGUACACGUGCCAGACUGGCCAGACCAGCCUCAGCGACCCUGUGCAUCUGACUGUGCUUUCCG